rnacentral:lncRNA from 1 species
CAUUCAGCCUCAGGGCAUGACCCUCAGAAUUACAAGUAGAAGUGGAUUAAUCCACUUUCCUAGUAAUCAGUAGAGGUCAAUCUAACCACCUCCCAAAACAAAUGGACAAGGAGGAAUAUAUUCACUCACCAAGCAAAUAGAACAUCCAGAGGCCUUCAUAGUGAGAGAAGAAAAUAAUCCACAUCAGAUGCUUUCUGGGGAGUUCUCGUUAUGGCUCAAUAGGUUAAGAACCCCAGUAAUAUCCAUGAGGAUGCAGGUUCAAUCCCUGGCCUCACUCAGUGAAUUAAGGAUCUGGUGUUGCUGUGAGCUGUGGUGUAGGUCGCAGAUGUGGCUCAAAUCCCUUGUUGCUGUGGUCGUAGUCCAGCAACUGCAGUUCCGAUUUGACCUCUAGCAUGGGAAUUUCCAUAUGCCACAGGUGUGGCCCUAAAAAGACACAAAAAAAAAAAAAAAAAAAAAGAUGCUUUCCAGAUUGUUGUUUUUGUUAUUGUGGUUUUGUGCCAGAUUUUCAUUUCCCCAGAGAAACUUUUACACAAGGAAGGGAUUGAGGCUGAAUACAGACCCAGGCUCACAUUUUUACAGUCUUGUAAUAAAAUUUUCUUACCAGUUUAGUUCAAAGCUUCCUAAAGAAGAGCUCUCUCCUACUUGGGUUGCCAGCCUAACCAUGAGGAAGGUUGCUGUGGUGGGGGAAGCAGGGGGCUUACUGAGGGGCUGGAGUUUCCACUGUGGCUCAGUGAGUUAAGAACCCAACAUAGUCUCCCUGAGGAUGCCAGUUUGAUCCCUGGCCUCGCUCAGUGCAUUAAAGGUCUGGUGUUGCUGCAACCUGCAUCGUAGGUUGCAGAAUUGGCUGGGAUCUUCUAUUGCUGUGACUGUGCUGUAGGCCUCAGCUAUAGCUCCAAUUCGACUCCUCACCUGGGAACCAACCUAGGUUGCAGGGGUGGCCAUAAAAAGCAAAUAAAAAAUUUUUAAAAAUAAAAAUAUAAAGUCAACUUAAAGGCAAUUAUUUUUUUUCCCACAUGCAUGGCAUAUGGAAGUCUCUGGGCCAGGGAUUGAAUCCUAUGCCACAGCUGCAGCAAUGCUGGAUUAACCCACUAUGCUGGGCCAGGGAUCAAACCCAUGCCUCUGAAGCAGCCUGAGCUGUUGCAGCUAGAUCCUUAACCUACUGCAUCACAACGGAAACUCUGGAGAUUCUUAUACUGUAUUAUUAAGUGAGUAAUAUUAAAAGUGGUUUAAGGAUAUGGAAAAUUUCUUGAAUACAGUACACAAAUGCUUAAAGUUUAGGAAUCCCCACAGUGGUUAUAUGGACUUCCCCUUCAAAUCUGACAGGUGAUAUUAAGGGUUGUAUUUUCCUUGUAUUUUAAUUAUAACCAUUAUUAAAUUAAGGGAGAACUGACAAGAAACAAAGCAGCAGAGAUUUUAGUACUUGGUGGCAAACUCAGGAUUUAGCUGUGAAAUGAGUUUCCUUUGCCUCCUUUUGGCACCAGAAACUGUGCCUUUAUUGACUAAAGGGAGUGGAAUUCGAAUCAGUGCAUAGAAUUUCUAUACCUAGGAGUUCCCUUUGUGGCUCAGCGGGUUAAGAACCCAACAUAGUGUUCAUGAGGAUGCAGGUUCGAUCCCUGGACUUGCUCAAUGUAUUAAAGAUUCCGCGUUGCUGCAAGCUGUGGUAUAGGGCACAGCUGCAGUUCCCAUUAGACCCCUAGCCCGGGAACGUCCAUGUGCUACAGGUGCAGCCCU